rnacentral:lncRNA from 1 species
CCAGACAGAUCUUGCUCUGUUGCUCAGCUGAAGUAUGGUGUUGUGAUCAAAACUCACUGCAGCCUGGAACUCCUGGGCUCAAGGCAUCCUCCUGCCUUGGCUCCCGAGUAGCUGGGACCACAAGUGCAAGCCUCUGCACUGGUCAAUCUCCAGGGCCUGGAAUGUGCGCUUCAGUUCGUGGAUGUCACCUUGUCUGCUCUGCACAGUGGCUGGACUGGCUGCCUCCUGGGACAUGGCUGCAGACUGUGGGACCAAGCAAGGCAAAGGCGUCAGCAUUGGGCCCUCAUGGAAAUGCAACCUUUGGGAAGUCGGAUGAUGUCUAUUAUUGUAUCAUCAAAUUCCCUGAUGUUUUCCUCUCUGGCCUGCAUUCUGCUGUUAAGCCCAUCUCCAUUGAGGUUUCUAUUUUGGUUCUACGGUAUGUUUCCGUUCUGAAAUUUCCACUGGAGUCCUUCCAUCUUCUUCUUCAUUGAGUCUUCUCUAUUUUUGCAUUUGUUGUGAGAGUUUAUUGAAGCAUUGCUUACUGAAGCAUUUUUAUGAUGACUGUUUAAAAAUCAUUGUCAAUAAGUAAAAUAGUGUAACUGGAUGUUUGUAACACCAAAGAUACAUGCUUGAGGGGAUGGACACCCCAUUCUCCAUGUGAUUAUUACACAUUGCAUGCCUGUGUCAAAUCAUCUCAUGUACCCCAUAAAUAUAUACAUCUAUGUACCCAGAAAA